rnacentral:rRNA from 1 species
GACGAACGCUGGCGGCGUGCUUAACACAUGCAAGUCGAACGGAAAGGCCCUGCUUUUGUGGGGUGCUCGAGUGGCGAGCGGGUGAGUAACACGCGAGUAACCUGCCCUUGACUUUGGGGUAACUUCAGGAAACAGGGGCUAAUACAGGAUAGGAGCUCCUGCUGCAUGGUGGGGGUUGGAAAUUUUCGGCGGUUUGGGCUGGACUCGCGGCAUAUCAGCUUGUUGGUGGGGUAGUGGCGUACCAAGGCUUUGACGGGUCGCCGGCCUGCGAGGGUGACCGGCCACAGUGGGACUGAGGGACGGCCCAGACUGCAACGGGAGGCAGCAGUGGGAAAUAGUGCGCAAUGGGCGGAAGCCGGAUGCAGCGACGCCGCGUGCGGGAUGACGGCCUUCGGGGUGUAAACCGCUUUCGCCUGUGACGAAGCGUGAGUGACGGUAAUGGGUAAGAAAGCACCGGCUAACUACGUG